rnacentral:rRNA from 1 species
ACUCCUACGGGAGGCAGCAGUGGGGAAUAUUGCACAAUGGGGGAAACCCUGAUGCAGCGACGCCGCGUGAAGGAUGAAGUAUUUCGGUAUGUAAAGCUCUAUCAGCAGGGAAGAUAAUGACGUACCGAC